UACGGGGGGGGCAAGCGUUGUUCGGAAUUACUGGGCGUAAAGGGCUCGUAGGUGGCCAACUAAGUCAGACGUGAAAUCCCUCGGCUUAACCGGGGAACUGCGUCUGAUACUGGAUGGCUUGAGUUCGGGAGAGGGAUGCGGAAUUCCAGGUGUAGCGGUGAAAUGCGUAGAUAUCUGGAGGAACACCGGUGGCGAAGGCGGCAUCCUGGACCGAAUCUGACACUGAGGUGCGAAAGCUAGGGUAGCAAACGGG
rnacentral:rRNA from 1 species